CCUACGGGAGGCUGCAGUGGGGAAUAUUGCACAAUGGGCGCAAGCCUGAUGCAGCCAUGCCGCGUGUGUGAAGAAGGCCUUCGGGUUGUAAAGCACUUUCAGCGGGGAGGAAGGCGGUGAGGUUAAUAACCUCAUCGAUUGACGUUACCCGCAGAAGAAGCACCGGCUAACUCCGUGCCAGCAGCCGCGGUAAUACGGAGGGUGCAAGCGUUAAUCGGAAUUACUGGGCGUAAAGCGCACGCAGGCGGUCUGUCAAGUCGGAUGUGAAAUCCCCGGGCUCAACCUGGGAACUGCAUUCGAAACUGGCAGGCUGGAGUCUUGUAGAGGGGGGUAGAAUUCCAGGUGUAGCGGUGAAAUGCGUAGAGAUCUGGAGGAAUACCGGUGGCGAAGGCGGCCCCCUGGACAAAGACUGACGCUCAGGUGCGAAAGCGUGGGGAGCAGACAGGAUUAGAUACCCGGGUAGUC
rnacentral:rRNA from 1 species